CCGGAAAUGACUCUUUUCCCGGCGAUUCUGCGGCCUGGCUGGGGCUGCUCCGAAUGCAUCGCUGCGCAGGGAAGGAGAGCUAAGCACGCGGAGGGGGGCGCCGCGGAGCCGGUCCGGGAGCUCCUUGGCUAGAUGUGUUCCUGACCGGCCAGAGGCCCGUGGAGGGAACGCCAUGGUCAACCGAAGAGCCUUCCUUUUCAGGAUGGCUCUCUUCUCCAGAGUGAGAUCGCUUCCUUGGCGGACCAGCCAGCCGAAAGGUUGGCCCUGGGCAUUUCUGGGCACAGCAUGUGAGGGCACCGUCACCGAUGUGGGGACUGAGGGAGAGCAAAGAGAGAGAACAAGCUGGAAGGAAGAAUCAAGCCAAAAUCUUGGGUUUUGGCGGGAGAGGUUAGCAGAUCAGAUGUUACCCUUGUGGAGACUGAACUAUGAGGAGCAGCUGAAGGUGAAAUUUGAAAGUCUGAAGAAAAAUCUGGAGACUCUAGAAAGUCGCCUCUGCAAGAUUGGUGCUGGUGACCCAGCGCCCACUACAGCAAGAUCUGAGAGGCCGUGUUCUCGUCUCCACCCUUUUAUGCCUUCUCCUGUCAUCCAUGGUUACAGAAAUAAAUCUUCCUUCUAUAUAAACCGAGGCCCAGAUGGAAACCCAAAGACUGUGGGGCACUACCUGAAGUCUUGGGGAGGGUCGAAUGUUUUCUGCGUACAGCCUAGCCAUCUGAAAGAUAUCCCUGAAAAGCACAACCAGGUAGCGCAGUGCUUUGAGGCAUUUCUGCAGCAGUCCACAUGGGGUCUCUCCACUGAUUCUUGCAAAGCGGGACCCUGGCAUGAACUCAUAGUGCGCACCACCUUCCUUGGGCACACGAUGGCCAUUAUCAUCUUCAAUCCCCAGGAAUUAAGUCAGGAGGAGCUCUGUGUUCAGAAGGAAGAAAUAAAGGAGUUCUUCUCCACGGGGCCUGGAGCUGUGUGUGACUUGACCUCACUUUAUAUGAAAGAAAGGACCCCUCGCCACCAACAGCUAACCCCCUUCCAGCUUCUCACUGGAGAGCCUUACAUCUUUGAAGAUAUCCUAGGCUUGAAGGUUCGAAUCUCUCCAGGAGCCUUUUUUCAGCUUAAUACAUCUGCAGCAGAAGUUCUCUACCGGACAGUGGGAGAGCUGGGUAGAGUGGACCGCAACACUGUCAUCUUUGAUUUUAGCCAUGGAACUGGUGCCACUGGCCUCUCCCUGGCUCGGCAGACAUCCCAGAUCUUCAGUAUGGGUCUGGUAGGGCAGGCGCUGGAGGAUGCUAAAUGGACUGCAGCCUUCAAUGGCAUCACCAACUGGGAAUCUCACCCUGGCAAUAUGAAGGAGAUUAUGCCGCAGUUGUUAGAGUCCCAGGAGGAUGGCCGGUCACUCAUGGCUCUGGUGGACCCAUCCCAGUGUGGACUGAGUAACAGAGUGGUUCAGGACAUCCGAAACUGCAGAGCCAUCCAGACGUUGGUUUUUGUCUCCUGCAGACCCUAUGGUAAAUCCAUCAAAAACAUCAUUAACGCAUGAGGCCCCCUUCUGUUCCUACAACAAAAGUCGCCCAAAAGGCUUGGAAUCACAUACUUUUUAGGCCAUCUGUAAGCUUGGUACUCUAAAUAUGGGGGUCUUAUCCAACAACUGACAUACCACUAGAAGAACUGACGUUCUUGCAGUAAACGAAAACCAAAACUAUAAGGAAGUUGAAGGUAAAUAGAAAGAUGGUUCCCAGGACCUCCUUGGAGAGGCAUCAAAAGAAGCUGAUAGAGACAGUUUCAUCGUUUUAUGGAAUACUUGUUUAUCUUAUCUUGUGAUGCCCAUGAUGAGCAUGUAGGAAAAAAAACUACCAGAAAGAGAAUUUCAACUUACAUACUGACAUCUGUUCCCAUGGAUAAAAUGGUAGAGAAACUCUAUGAAGAACUUGACGAGAUGUUGCACUAAGACAAUAUAUACAUUGAUAUAUUCAUUGCAAAAGUGGGAAAUGGAGGACAGUGGAAAAUAUGUUGGAAAAAUAUAUUUCAGGAUUAAAGAACAAAAGAGGCCCCAAGCUUGUAAGGUACUCAGAAGCUUCAGUCCUAUAUUUUGUAAUUACUUUCCUCGAGAAAAACAUUGUAAGGUGUGUACUGAACAUCACAAUGAAUGAAACUGAUUCUAUCCUCAUAGAACAACUAAUGACUAACAGGGGAGUCAUUUCUGAAUCAGUUGUCUUUGGGUAGUUGGAACAUCAACUUGUUAGAACAAAGGCCAAAUCAACAUGAAAUUAGAAGAAAAAGUGCUUUUCUUCAAAUAUGAAAUAAAAGUGUUUUUAACAAUUAAAGUAAUGCCAGUUUGACCUAUUCAGACAAGCUACUGAUCCUAAAAACAAAUGGAAAAUGGAUAAAUGAAAAGACAUCAACACAGGAUAUCUUCCAUUUCCUCUGGAAGUUUAAUCCAUAUAAAGUAGUUGCCACAACAAGGAGGCCACAAGGGUUCAGAAACUGGCUCAGACAGCGGAUAUUUGAUUUCCUUGCCAAGCAGAGAAUGAUUGCACCCAAAGACCUUCCAAUAAAACAUCUCCCAUCUCAAGAUCAUACAAGGCUCUUGGUCAGAUUUCCAUUUCAGAGAUAAGUUGGGUCAACAAUCCUUUGGUUUUUGGUAUCAAUUAGUAUUAUUAGGCAUAAAAUGAGGAGGUGUAUGGUCACCAAAAGGGUUCCCCACUGUUGUAAAGGAUGCCCUGCGUAGAGUCCAAAUGAAACAAGCUUUGCUUGUGGCUGGUGAGGUCCUCCAGGUGGUCCUGUUGGUUGAUGACUGUGCUAGAACUUGAUGCAAUCUACUGGAUGAAAUCCACCAUCUCUUUAAAGACAUCAUCCUAAUAAUGCACACCAGCAGUCUAAGUCAGCUAAGAUCGCUGUCGUCCAGACUUUGACAUAAAGUUGGAUGAGUGUUGGCAAAUAGUGACAUUGGACAAAGAGUGGGGCACAGAACUGAGCCAGGAGGAAGAGCGAGAGCUAGAUUGUAUUUGAGAACUCUGUGCAAUACUUGAUCACUUAAAAACCCCCGUAGGUCCAACUAACUUCCAAGACUUGCAUAAUUAUAAAUACUUUCUAUUACAAGCAAGGGUGCUUAACCUAGGGUCCAUGAAAUAUUCUGGUUACCGUGUUUCCGUAUAAUUGGCCACCUUGUGUUUUUUAUUGUACACAUUUGAGAACAUGGUUCUGACAAGAGGACAUUGUACACAGUAGAAAUUUUCAGAAUAGUUGCCAAUAUACAGAGGUUGUGCCAGCCCCCAGACCCCGAUGAGAAUCUCCUUGGUGAGCCUUUUGUUCUGAGACGAGCCAUGCCAGUGGACAUGUUCCCCC